GAUGAACGCUGGCGGCGUGCCUAAUACAUGCAAGUCGAGCGAACGGACGAGAAGCUUGCUUCUCUGAUGUAAGCGGCGGACGGGUGAGUAACACGUGGAUAACCUACCUAUAAGACUGGGAUAACUUCGGGAAACCGUAGCUAAUACCGGAUAAUAUUUUGAACCGCAUGGUUCAAAAGUGAAAGACGGUCUUGCUGUCACUUAUAGAUGGAUCCGCGCUGCAUUAGCUAGUUGGUAAGGUAACGGCUUACCAAGGCAACGAUGCAUAGCCGACCUGAGAGGGUGAUCGGCCACACUGGAACUGAGACACGGUCCAGACUCCUACGGGAGGCAGCAGUAGGGAAUCUUCCGCAAUGGGCGAAAGCCUGACGGAGCAACGCCGCGUGAGUGAUGAAGGUCUUCGGAUCGUAAAACUCUGUUAUUAGGGAAGAACAUAUGUGUAAGUAACUGUGCACAUCUUGACGGUACCUAAUCAGAAAGCCACGGCUAACUACGUG
rnacentral:rRNA from 1 species